rnacentral:rRNA from 1 species
GACGAACGCUGGCGGCGUGCUUAACACAUGCAAGUCGAGCGGAAAGGCCCUUCGGGGUACUCGAGCGGCGAACGGGUGAGUAACACGUGAGUAACCUGCCCCAGACUUUGGGAUAACCCUCGGAAACGGGGGCUAAUACCGGAUACGACACAGCUUCGCAUGGGGUCUGUGUGGAAAGUUUUUCGGUUUGGGAUGGGCUCGCGGCCUAUCAGCUUGUUGGUGGGGUGAUGGCCUACCAAGGCGACGACGGGUAGCCGGCCUGGGAGGGCGACCGGCCACACUGGGACUGAGACACGGCCCAGACUCCUACGGGAGGCAGCAGUGGGGAAUAUUGCACAAUGGGCGGAAGCCUGAUGCAGCGACGCCGCGUGAGGGAUGACGGCCUUCGGGUUGUAAACCUCUUUCAGCAGGGACGAAGCGUAAGUGACGGUACCUGCAGAAGAAGCGCCGGCCAACUACGUG